UACGGAGGGUGCGAGCGUUGUCCGGAUUUAUUGGGUUUAAAGGGUGCGUAGGCGGCUUAUUAAGUCAGUGGUGAAAGGUAUCAGCUUAACUGAUGACGUGCCAUUGAAACUGAUAGGCUUGAGUACAGACGAGGUAGGCGGAAUUUAUGGUGUAGCGGUGAAAUGCAUAGAUACCAUAAAGAACACCAAUAGCGAAGGCAGCUUACUAGACUGAGACUGACGCUGAGGCACGAAAGCGUGGGGAGCGAACAGG
rnacentral:rRNA from 1 species